rnacentral:rRNA from 1 species
GAUGAACGCUAGCUACAGGCUUAACACAUGCAAGUCGAGGGGAAACGGCAUUGAGUGCUUGCACUCUUUGGACGUCGACCGGCGCACGGGUGAGUAACGCGUAUCCAACCUUCCCAUUACUGUGGGAUAACCUGCCGAAAGGCAGACUAAUACCGCAUAGUCUUCGAUGACGGCAUCAGAUUUGAAGUAAAGAUUUAUCGGUAAUGGAUGGGGAUGCGUCUGAUUAGCUUGUUGGCGGGGUAACGGCCCACCAAGGCUACGAUCAGUAGGGGUUCUGAGAGGAAGGUCCUCCACAUUGGAACUGAGACACGGUCCAAACUCCUACGGGAGGCAGCAGUGAGGAAUAUUGGUCAAUGGGCGGAAGUCUGAACCAGCCAAGUAGCGUGCAGGAUGACGGCCCUAUGGGUUGUAAACUGCUUUUGUAUGGGGAUAAAGUUAGGGACGUGUCCCUAUUUGCAGGUACCAUACGAAUAAGGACCGGCUAAUUCCGUG